rnacentral:misc_RNA from 1 species
AUUCACCUUAGGAGUAUUCGUAUGUCCGUUUUGCAAUGGUAAUUUUCUGCUAUUUGUCAUUUUGCCUUUGUAAUCUCUUUUUUUUUCUUUUAUUAUGGUUAUAAAGUCUCGAAUUUGAAUAUCAGGUUUAAGUCUGGAUUGGAUUCGAAAUUUUAAGUUUAAAAUUUUCUAUUAGAAUUUUAGAGAUUUGGGCUUGUAGGAAGUACGGAAAUAUUAAAUUUAAAUAAAUUAUUAAGAUUAUUAAGAAUAUUGAUUCAAACUUGAUCCGAACAAACUUCAAAAACUUGGAAAAAGAGUAAGUGCCUAAAUUGGUUUUUUUUUUUUUUUUUCCCCUCUGGAUUCUUUUCACGAAGUUUAUGUUUGCUUUGUAGUAAAAGCUUGAGCUUUUGAGGGGUUGGUUCCAUGCAUUAUUGUUGCGUGUGGAGGGUUGAAUUCUGAUUAGUGCUUUUCUAAGAGUAGCUCAGUUUGGAAAUAAAAAGCCCGAAGGCUGCUGAUGGGGAUCUUGGUGUAGGCAUAUACCUCCUUGUGACACCCUGGCUUCUCACAGAAUUGGCUACUGCUACACACGCAUCAUGUACAUUUUCACCUGCCGUGAUGCAAUUCAUUGUGAUGGCGGUGCUUGCUUUUAAGUGAUAGGAUAUUUUACUUUGUUGCAGUAUGCAAUGUGCUUGUGCCUUGGGUAAUAGAAGCUUUGUCGUAAACAUAAAAUCUAUUCUGAACCUUGCAAAACACACAGUUCUGAAAGGGGUGGAUGAGCAUACCCUCCUUUUAUGUACAGAGGCAUGCAAUCAAAAUUAAAACCACCAAUAAUAGUACCCAGUUUCAAGAACAACAAAUUAGUAUGGCCUCACAAAAGUACCAGGAAACCAUCUGGGAAAAAUUGAGUUUUUUGCUUUCACAAUCAGUGCAUAUAUCCCAUAACAGGGGACGUGAACCACAGCCAAGGCAAAAUACCAUAAAGGAGCCCACGCAAUAUCAAGCUCCAGGAAUGGAUAAGGCCACCUGGGUUGGGCGCGAGAAUUAUGUUACUGGCUCUUGGGGGAAGAUCUAAAAUAUUGAAUGCCAUAUUUCCAAUGAUUCAAUUUUGUAGUGUAAUUUGAAAAAUUAUGCUUACCAUGUAAAACCACAGGCAUGAAUCACCCAUUGAAAAACAACAUAAAGGCAACUCCACUGCACAAAAUAUGCAAGCCGGAACCAAGGGAAUGGCUGAAAGCAGGACAACAGGAGUAAUGACUAAACCUGUGAAACUUUAAUAGAUAAAAAUCAAAACUCACCCUUGAUGGCGAUACUUUACAAGGCUGUUUAGAGCAGUAUCCAGCAAAAGAAAAGCAGCAUUCAAAGUGUGCAUGCAACCCAUCAGCACAUUGAGUCCAAGGUGUGCAUUUGAUGCAAAUGGGACAAUAAUACACCAAAAUAUUACGUCUGUUAGGAUGACAGCACCUGCACAAGUCUGAUAAAUAGUUUGCAUAAGAUAUCCCCAAAGUCCAGCUCUCAGCCUAAUUGUCUCUUCUGCAUAAUGACUUUGCAACUUGAUAGUUCCCUUCAUUGCUUUUUCCCUGCAAGUUGCAGAGCUUGUAGUUCCAUUAUCUUCCACAUCUGUUCUCAAGAACUCGUCAGUUUCCAAAUUUUCAGAGGGAAUUUGCAAUGAUGACGUCCAACACCCAUAUCCAGAUGUGACAGUGGCAAGCGCAAAAUAUACCAUAACUAAUGCAAAUGUCCACCUGCACAUCAGUCAUUAAACAAAGCAGAAAUCAGAGAGCAUUUAAUUUUCAACUGAACUGCAUUUAGAAAAUUUUCAUAAAGCUUAGAAGCCAAGCAAAUAAAAGCGGAAAGUCUAUCGAAGAAAAGCCAAAGAGGAUCAAAGCAUCUCCAGCAUGGCUUCCAUAAAUCAUUCAAGAACAAUGGCUCUGCUUUUACUUUCCUGGUUGUAUAAAAGGCAACCAAAGCUGAGCCAACCCAAUAGGAUAUUCCAGUAGUCAGCUAAUGAUGAUUAAACCUGUUACAAUCUCACAUUGCUAAGGAACAAGCUUGAUGACAUCCUCCUCUUCCAGCUGGUUUUCAAGAGUGAGUUUAUUCCCCUCGUGGUGUUCAACAGUUUAUAAAUCAAUGGUACCGUGUAUUCCGUUUUCCUUCUCCAGGAGGAGGGGUCAUCAACCAUGUCUGUCUGAAGUCUGAUAGCCACGGUGGUUGACUUUCAACUAAUAGGUUUCGGUUUUUCCAUAAUGGGUUGCGUUGAGGCCCAUUUUUUACAAGUGAGAAUUGGCCCACUAUACUAGCUAGGGGCUCCCAUUUUAUCUAACAGUUGAUCAUACAUUACAUAGUUCUGUGGACUAUUAGUUUUCCACCAGAAAGUCCAAAUUAAUUCUCAAACAGUCAAACACUUACCUUGCCAAGCAAAGAAGAUUGUAGAGCAAAAAUAGUUUAGAUGAUAAUUUCUAGUCCUUAGGAGCAGUAUAGAGGAAUCAAUUAAAGAUUUAAACAAAACAUAAACUACUAUACUAAUUCGUUAGAGAAACAUAUGAUUUAACAUAGCAAAUGAAUCCACCAUUUCUUGGUAACAAGCAAUGCUUGAUCAAUAAGAUCUAGCUACCGUGUAAUCAGAAACUUACUCAGUGUAAUACACGAAGAUGGUGGCAUCCCAUUCCUCGAUAUCCCACAUUAGAAAUCCAGCCAUUACCAGAAAGGAGACGAAACGAGUGGCUAAUAACCAUCCUGGAUGAAACCCUUUCCAGCAACUGCUCCAUAGUUGGGACGACCCAACAUGAUUUCUUGGCAUAGCAUUUACAAAACCAUCAGUGUCUGGUCGAGCCACAAGGAGGCUCUCAUAGAUGGUGUUGGUGUCGUAUUUUGAGGCAAGUAGCUCCUUCCUGUAUAGCACCCAUAACGAGCCGAAGAAGGAUGCGCCAACAAUGCCAAAACAAAUGAAAUCAUACCAGUAGACCACAAGGGCCAUAGUUACCUUCUGGGCUCCUCCUCGAAAAGACUGAAAUGUAUUAGCAGGAAUACCUAGGUUCAAUAAUGAGGGCCUGGAAUGACCACCAUGGAUUACAAGGUCUAGAGCAUAGAUUAGUUGGAGUAGAGAUUUAGGUGGUGCAUGGCUUAACAUAACAUGGGACUGGUAGUUUUGACUGUUUGGUUAUAUACUUAAUUAUGGCAUUAUGCUUUUCUAAUGAAAAAGAUUAUAAAAAGGGAGGGCAAGGAAAUGUUGGUUAAUUAUCUUUGUAACAGUAAAUCGAAAGUUCAGUCUAGCUACACAGACAUAUUUGUGCAAUUAAUAUAUAAGUUCCUGGGUCUCCUCAUAUUGGCAUUUACGAAGAUUCUUAACUUCUACUCCCACUGCUGGCUUUGUCACUCUAUACAAUUCAAUUUUACAAAUUAAGAAGCCAAAAUAAUAAUAAUUUAGCGAACCUACAUAUAAUUAUAUAUAAAAAUAUAAUAAAACUAGCUCUUAUUUUAGAUGGCUGAAAAGCUAUGAUUAACCGCCGUAAAUCCUCCAUCAACAGCCAAGUUAUGUCCGCGCCGAUUCAUCAGAUGCUAGAAAUUAAGCUUCCUCCGCUAUAUGUCUUGCCGUCAAGUUCGCCAGGGCAGAAUUAUUUGCUUUAACUUCCCUGGGUUCCAAAUUAUAAGCCUUGCAAUAAAGUGGCGUACGUUGCAACGCCGUAGGGAGCUAGAGAUGCAAUUCACCCGUAUCCCAUGAACCCUUAACUCACCACAAGCUGUUCUUACUGGACCCACAAAUGAAUGCUUUGAAAUUGUGUCCGGUUCCACCCAGAGAAGAUGCGACGCUGGUUGAGAAUAUGAUAGAUCCGCG